rnacentral:lncRNA from 1 species
ACAAUGAAUCCAGGGUUCCCAGCCCAAAUCCUCAAAUUCUAACACUAACAUCUGAUCAUUUGAGUUAUGGGAUUCAACCAGCUUUGGCAACUCCUUCUGGAACCAGACUUGGAAGUAAGUCUCUUUCUUAGGUUUUUGUUUGUUUGUUUGUUUUGGAUUUGGUGGCUUCUGCAUUUAUGCUUCGUGAGAGCCUUUGUAUUAAAUUUGGCGACACAGCUGUGGAUAAGGUCUGGGCUGUGCCCGUUGUGGGGGAAGGGGAAGCUGGCAUCUGCUGAACCCUGACUGUGAACGCGCUCACUGAAUAGGAUUCUGGGGAGCCCCUUCUCUCUUUCCACCUUUAUGUGGGUUCCAGGGAUCAAACUCAGGUCAGCAGGCUUGCCCAGCAGGCACCCUUCCCCAUGGAGUCAUCUCAUUGGUCCCAAACAAGACUCUUGUUCAUUCUUCACUUAACAACAACAGCCCUGUUCCAUGAUCUAUGCUGUUUCUUCAGAGAGAUGAGGAAAAGGAAGAUCAGAGAGACGAGUAUCCAGUCCAAGUAAAUGCAAAACAAGGAUAGAAAACAAUCUGUCUGAUGUCUCUCUGCCGUACAUAGUUUAAGGAGUGAGCCACGGAAGCACAUGAUAAAACCAAGACACAACCGCUUCAGAAAAUCAAAACAAAGGGAUGGAUUUAGGCCUCCGUGGUGCUCGGCAGGGGCAGAGUUAGAGGUUAUAGUUGGGUCUUUCCUCUCCAGUGGGCAGCUGCUCACCUGUCUAGGUUAAGGGGGUAAAAAACCAACCCUAAAUGAUUUCCCUGUGUACUGCCUACAGAAGACCCUGGGGAGACCCAGAUAUUUGCUAGCUGGGAGCUGGUUAAGAUCAGGAGGCGAUUCCUAAAGAGCUAGUGGGAAGUUGAAAGCAGCAGGUAAAACAGGCUUCCUGGAUUGAAGUAGCAACUGGAGAAGAGCAGAGUUUUAUACAAGUGCCUGGAAAUACUAAGGGUGGACAGGCUACCUUAGUCUUUCAGUGUUGAAAUCUUACAAAAGGUCUAAUUGGCUGAUUUGGAGGCUGAAGGCAGCAGAUAUGUUUGGCCUACUGGGAAAGGCUCCUUCGGUAGGUAUGAGAGCACCAAGCAAAAAUGAGAGAUUGCUGGACCAGAUGAAAUGCCAGAGGCAACACAGAGUGGCCAGUCUUGCUCUCACACACCACACCACUCUAUAAGAACCCAUUUUGUGAGAGAUGUGUUAAUCUCUUCUGAGUGCAGAGCCUCCAGUAACCCAAAUAUCCCCCAUUAGACUUUACUUCUUAAUGGUUCCAGUGCUUGGAGACCAAGUUUCUAAUAUAUGACCCAACUAGGAAACCUUCAAACACUUUACAACCUGUAAUGGGUAUUUUAGGAAUUAUGGUAUCAGACAUCCUAUAUGUCCUUGCACCAUGGAAAAUUGAUGUGUUAGAGUAAUUCUUAGAAUAAACAUAAAUCUCACUGAAAGACGGGCCUAGAGAAACUUGGAAGCACUGUCACCAGACAAGGGGGCCGGAGAACUUGGUUAAGUUUGGGCAGGUUAUGAACCCAAGUUUUAAAUAUACCUGAGAAAGAGCCACAGAGUUGGCCAGACAGCACCGUGUAAUGUCAGUCCAUGAACCCUUCAUUCAAACAGAGAGUGGUUUCUCCCAUAUUAAUUAGUCCAUUUUGUGUCCCUUUAAAGAGAUGCCUGGGGCUUAUUAACUUAAUAGAUAAAGAAGCUUAUUGUGUUCAUGAUUCUGGUGGCUGCUGGGUCCACACAGCACCGUGCUGGUGUUCUGGCAUGUAGCACAACUCAACAGAGGAAAGGAAAUGAAAAGAAAAGUACUGUAGGCAGAUGGUAUCAACAACAUGGCAUACAUAACCUCAAUGAACAACAUUCUGGUGGCCCAAGAACUAGCCCACUCUUCAAGAACAAUGAAUCCUGCCUUAGGACACUGCUCCAGGACCUAACUGCCUUCCGAUAAGCUUGCCUCUUAAAGACCCCACUCUCUCUGUGAUGAUCAAUCUUCAUUGUCGGUUUGACAGAUUUUGGAAUCACCUCAAAGGCAAACAUGCUGGUAGGAGUGAGUGAGUCUCCAGAGAUGUUCAUCCAAGGGGGGGAAAACCCACCCCAACAGUGGACAGCAUCAUCCUGUAGGAGUAAAGGGGGGUGCGGUCUUAGUACUCCUCCUUCCCUGCUGUCUGAGUCUGUGACAGUGGACCCAAUGUGACAAGCUGCCUCACUCCCUGGCCACCAUGCCUCUCCUGCCAGGAUCGAUUUGUAUCCUCAAACCAUGAACCAAAAUAAACCCUUCCUUCUU